UACGUAGGGAGCGAGCGUUGUCCGGAAUUACUGGGCGUAAAGGGUGCGUAGGCGGCAAUGCAAGUCAGAUGUGAAAUCCCCGGGCUUAACUCGGGGGGUGCAUUUGAAACUGCAUUGCUUGAGUGCAGGAGAGGAAAGCGGAAUUCCUAGUGUAGCGGUGAAAUGCGUAGAUAUUAGGAAGAACACCAGUGGCGAAGGCGGCUUUCUGGACUGUAACUGACGCUGAGGCACGAAAGCGUGGGGAGCAAACAGGG
rnacentral:rRNA from 1 species